UACGUAGGGGGCUAGCGUUGUUCGGAUUUACUGGGCGUAAAGGGCGCGUAGGCGGCCUAGCAAGUCACUUGUGAAAUCUCCGGGCUUAACUCGGAACUGCCAAGUGAAACUGCUGGGCUAGAGUGCAGAAGGGGCAAUCGGAAUUCUUGGUGUAGCGGUGAAAUGCGUAGAUAUCAAGAGGAACACCUGAGGUGAAGACGGGUUGCUGGGCUGACACUGACGCUGAGGCGCGAAAGCCAGGGGAGCAAACGGG
rnacentral:rRNA from 1 species